rnacentral:pre_miRNA from 1 species
CGUGUACCGGUGGGGUCCCUCAGCCUGGCCUGUGCCGUCUCGCAAUCCGGGACCCCUCAGGCAAUGUUGGAGAACCGGUUUUGGCCCAAUCCCCAUAGGCCAGGCUGAGGGACCCCAUCAGUGCACA